rnacentral:rRNA from 1 species
AUGGAGAAGAAGCGGGUGGCCAUCAUCGGAGCCGGGGUGAGCGGCCUUACUGCGUGCAAGCACGCGUUGGAGCAUGGCUUCCGUCCUGUCCUGUUUGAGGCCGACGCAGACGCCAUCGGUGGCGUGUGGGCACACAUGCUCCCCUCAACGCGGCUUCAGACACCACGGCCAUAUUACCAGUUCACCGACUUUCAGUGGCCAUCGGGAGUGUCAGAUUUGUACCCUGACCAUAACCAGGUCACGGAUUACCUGCGCUCGUAUGCGCGCCACUUCGGCGUGCUAGAGUGCAUCAGGUUUGGCACCCGGGUUCCUGCUCUGGAGUACUCCAGUGAUGUGAACGAGGGGGAGAUGAUGGCGUGGGAUCAGUGGGCUGGCAACGGCAAGGCGUUCGGCAGUGGUCGAGGCGAGUGGAGGCUCACCGUGCAUCGCGGGGACCAUGUUGAGAUACAUGUGGCCGACUUUGUGGUUCUUUGUCUCGGACGAUUCAGUGGCAGGCCCAAUAUUCCCGCUUUCCCGCUGGGGAAAGGGCCAGAGGCCUUUGAUGGCACUGUGAUCCAUUCCAUGGAUUUCUCCAACAUGGACGAUGCAAAGGCCACCUAA